rnacentral:misc_RNA from 1 species
UUAACUAUUAUAUAGUACUCAGACGACAUGUAUAAACAGAGUUUAGGGUCCUCUGGCGAGCACUCACCAGCUGGAAGCCGGUGGCCGGAGCGGCUCGCCAAAGCAACAAAGGUAUAAUUAACAUAGGGUUGGAGAGUCACCCUCGCGGGCGAUGUUCUCUGUAAUGAUCCUUCCGCAGGUUCACCUACGGAAA